GAAAAGAAAAUGUAGGCAUAAGUAACGAUAAUUAAUGUGAAAAACAUUAACGCCGUAAACCCAAGGUUUCCUGAUCAAUGUUAAUCAGAUCAGGGUUAGUCGGGUCCUUAGGCGCACCCGAAAGGGGAAGCUGAUGGCAAGUCGGUUAAUAUUCCGACACCUGCUUAUACUUCGAUGGAGUGACGGGGUAGUGAAAGGUCCGCGUUCUUACGGAAUAGAACGUUAAAGGGUGUAGAUAUUGGUUUUGCAGGUAAAUCCGCAAGAUUAGUCGAACCUGAUAGUACAGCAAAGCUUCGGCAGCGCUGAUAGUGACCCUAAUCAAACCUCCGAGAAAAACUUCUAAGUUAUGGUAUAAGGAGCCCGUACCGCAAACCGACACAGGUGGGUGGGAUGAAUAUUCUAAGGCGCUCGGGUGAGCCGUGGAGAAGGAACUAGGCAAAUUGACGCUGUAACUUCGG
rnacentral:rRNA from 1 species